rnacentral:tRNA from 1 species
GGAGAGGUGCUCGAGUGGUUUAAGAGGCACGCCUGGAAAGCGUGUAUACCCCUAAAGGGUAUCGAAGGUUCGAAUCCUUUCCUCUCCG